GAUGAACGCUGGCGGCGUGCCUAAUACAUGCAAGUCGAGCGAACGGACGAGAAGCUUGCUUCUCUGAUGUUAGCGGCGGACGGGUGAGUAACACGUGGAUAACCUACCUAUAAUACUGGGAUAACUUCGGGAAACCGUAUCUAAUACCGGAGAAUAUUUUGAACCGCAUUGUUCAAAAGUGAAAGACGGUCUUGCUGUCACUUAUAGAUGGAUCCUCGCUGCAUUAGCUAGUUGGUAAGGUAACGGCUUACCAAGGCAACGAUGCAUAGCCGACCUGAGAGGGUGAUCGGCCACACUGGAGCUGAGACACGGUCAAGACUCCUACGGGAGGCAGCGGUCGGGAAUGUUCCGCAAUGGGCGAAAGCAUGACGGAGCGACGCCGCGUGAGAGAUAAAGGUCUUCGGAUCGUAAAACUGUGUUAUUAGGGAAGAACAUAUGUGUAAGUAACUGUGCACAGCUUGACGGUACCUAAUCAGAAAGCAACGGCUAACUACGUG
rnacentral:rRNA from 1 species